AACCUGACUUGAAUGGGCCGAGCUAAACAUCCGCGCUUAAAUUGGUUCCAUAACAGUAAGUUGAGGAUCAUAUGAUCUUACUAAUUUGAGUCAGGUUUAAAUAGUCUAGAUAAUUGCGCGUACACGCCAUUCUUUAAAAGUUCUGAAAAUUCGAGCAUGGGUCAAUCGAUUUACUGUGGGCUACCAUGGCAACAAAAGAAAGCGAUGUUCAGGGCAACGGAACAGCGUUUGCUAUUGGAAACUUAAUGAAGAAUUUAAAGAUGUCAUCACCAAUAAAGGCAAUACAGCGGCAAUAAAUAAAGCAAGAGAGAAAGGUUGCUGAUCGUCUCAAUGCGUAAGUAGCGGUGUAAACUAUUUAAAAUACUUUAUCAACAUUUAAUGUGCGUCACAAUACAUUGCAAAGUUUAUGUGUGAAUAACAGUAACGUUAAUUGCUUUGACUCAGCAGCAACUUAAGUGAAGGAAAAAGAACCUUGCAGCAGGUGAAAAUAAAAUAUAAAAAUAUAGUUCAGAAUGGUAAGUAAAUCUAAUGGUAUGUAGAUAUGUAAUCAAUGCCAGCUUGAAGUUACAACUAUUCAGGUUUUUUUUUUUUUUGCAGUGACCAAAAAGAAGACUGAGAUUGCUGGCACUGGGGGAAGGCCACCACCAGCCAGCUUCACUCCUGCAGAGGAGCUGGCUUUGGAAAUUAAUAAAGGGAGGCCCGUCCUUGAGGGAAUAGAGGGGCGACAUCAUCUAAAAUGAUAUCACGUAGUAUAAGGAGUGAGUAUAUAAAAGAUUCUGUAUGCUUUAUGGAUCCAUCAGACAUCAUGUUGCCUGAUGCUGACACUGUUCUAGAGCCCUCUCAGUCUGGGACCACAUGUGACAAAGUGAGUAUUAAGAAAUGAAAACAAAGUGACAAGAGUAUUCAAUGAAAUAACUUAAAUGUUGCUACAUAACCCAGAAAACAUAAAAGGAGUGUAUAAAACGCUACCGCCUUAAACAAAUGGAAGCAAUUGAUAUCGACAUCCAGUAUAAAAAACUGAAGAUGAGGAAGUUGCUCAGAACAGCUACAGAAAAAUGCAAGUAGAAAUACCAUUUUUAAAAAGGAAAAGAAAAAAACUUUACCUUUUUGAUCAUUCACAACAUUUAUUUGAGUUUUCACCCCUAACAGGCAGAUUCACUCUGAAUAAA